GGUGUGUCUGUGAGGGCGUUUCCAGAGGAGACUGGCAUGUGAGUCAGUGGAAAGGCAGGGGAAGACCUGCCCACGUUGUUCAAUUGGCUGGGAGCUUGGUUAAACAAAGCAGGCAGAAGGAGGACAAGCAGUUUUCUUAGCUGCUUCUCUCUCUCUCUCUCCCUUCUGGAGCAAGACACCUUUUCUCCUCCUGCCCUUGGACACCAGACUCUCCGUUCUUCAGCCUUUGGACCUGAGACUUGCACUAACAACCUCUUGGAGCCUCCUGGAGGCUCUCAAGCUUUUGGUCUCAGACUGGGGCCUGCACUGCUGGCUUCCCUGGUUUUGAGGCUUUCAAACUGGGACUGAGCUACCUACUGCCUUCCCUAGGAGCCACACUACCAGCUUCUCUCAUUCUCCAGCUUGCAGGUGGCCUAUCGUGGGACUUUGCCCUUGUAAUCGUGUCAUGCUCUGGGUCCCGGUGUCCCCAGAAUUCCUUCCACUAUGGCCCUGCAUCUGCCCCUGUGUCUUGGGCAGCCUCUUCCCUGGGUUCAUCCUCCAAGGUCAGGACAUUCCACCAACAUGUAUUCGUAGACAUGAUGUUUUUCAGAUCCUGAGUACCAGCAAAAUGGCUGAUGCCAGCUAGUCUGAAGACCCCAAAACUAAGUCAACACAAAAAUACAGUUUCUUCAUCUCCCUGUCCCCUGAUUUCACCUUUUACUCUUUCAUUAAUCCAUGACCCCAGGUCCACAACCCAUCCUAAACCCCUUAAGAUCCCUAUCCCCAAACUCCUUGGGAAGACAGAUGUGAGAUUUCCUCUUACCUCCUUGUUUGAAUCCCUGAUGAUUAAACUUCUUUCUCUGCUACAAUUCUUUGUGUCUCCAUGUAUUGACUUGCCACAUAUUGGGCAAUGGAGCCUGGCACGAUUACACCUGGAGCGGAUGGCCUUACGUGGAGCAUGGGCCCUACCUGGGGCAGUGAACAUCUCUGAAGACAUUUCCUUCGGGUGGUGAGUCAGGUAUACAAGGAUCCCCUUCUAAAGUGUGGAGCUUGGCAUUGAGCAAGCAAAGCUGGAAGAAGGGAAGCCAGUCAAGGAGCUGUUGAAAUAAUUUAUGUAGAUGUCUGUCCCACAGACCCUGACCCAAUGAUAAAUCAAUACAGUACACUGACACAGAUAUUCUGCUUAGCCAGUUUGGCUGAGUGUCUGGGCCACUUACAGACUCCCAGAAGAGUGCUGUAAACAGUUGCGACCAAGGCCUCGGCUAGCCAGCAAGACUAGCAUUUAUUCAGUAAAGAUUAAUUGACAAAGGCUUGAGUCAACACCACUAGAGUGUAACUGACAUUGCAGACUUCCCAAAUAGAAAGUAAUUAAUCACCUGUGAUAAAUCAAAGGUUAGUCUUAGGACCAUAUGAGUAAACAAGCUAGCUAGAUAAACUCCCCACAUUCCUUCAUUUCUACUCUAAUUUAACUAAGGGGACAAAGCUGCCUUCAGGCAAGUACUAUAUGUAAUAACCCCCAGGCCUUCCAAUAGGGUUUGUGUAUAUUUUCUAUAACUAAAAUUUUUCCCACCAGCCUGACUGAACCCCCACAAAUUUACACCGAAGAUGACAAAGGCUUAGACUGAGAUGGUGACAGUGGGAAUGGAGAGUCAGAAUCUGCAGGCUAUUUAGGAGUGGUAGAGAAGGUGCUUCCUCUAUCCCAUAGGUAGGCACCAAGGGCUAAGCUUGCAGACCAUAGCCACAAGUUGCUGGUGGGUGUCU
rnacentral:lncRNA from 10 species